GCUCCAGUGGCGCAAUCGGUCAGCGCGCACGGUACUUAUAAUGCUGAGGUUGUGAGUUCGAGCCUCACCUGGAGCA